GCGCCGCGGAAACUAUGCUCUACCAGUCAUGUAUUGGUAGAGCUCGCAUGGAAACGCGGCCCUCAAAGGAACAUGCGCGAUGCGCGUGUGUAUGGUCACCUAAUUCUGAGGAGCUCAAGGGGAAAAGAAGGGACAGGCCAAAAAGGCAAACAACGAGGACAAAUAAGGCUCUCGAGUCUAACUCCGGAUAAAUUCACAAACAGGGAACCACUGUUGGGCCGGGCCUGGAGGCGAUGAUAGCCCGGGCUGAUGACUUCCAGCCGGAGGCCAGCAGCGAUACAGGUCUCCAGGAAAGAAAACUGGCGCUCUCCGGUGAGUUAUGCAAGGGCAGUCUGAGGUUCGGCCGCCCGACAAAAUGGCGGUACCUCUCAACGCCGCGAUGCGACGGCUGGAAGUCCCCGAGAUGAGGUGGACGCGGUACACCGGAACGGACUCACCGGGAAAUGUUUGAUGUCGUCGGCGUCGACUGCGAAGACUGCUUUUCUGGGUGGUCGUCGGUACGGGUCGAACGGCCACCGGUUGCUGGGCAGCCAAGUCGGGCUGGUAGGUAUGGCGAAGUCGCGCAAAUGUCAGUAGAACUCCAAAUAAAUAUUCCGGGGCCCUUUGUGUUGGGACCCCGGCUGCCUUUAUAAAUGAUAAAUAUUAAAUACCGA